AUAAUGAUACUUCCGUCUUGCACGCAUCACAGCAUGGGGCGGCCCGGGGAGAACCUCCGGGGGGCGAGUUGGCCCAUGA
rnacentral:ncRNA from 1 species